rnacentral:rRNA from 1 species
GUCGAACGGGAACCUUCGGGUUUUAGUGGCGGACGGGUGAGCAACGCGUGAGAAUCUGCCUUCAGGAUGGGGACAACAAUUGGGAACGAUUACUAAUACCCGAUAUGACGAAAGUUGAGAGAUUUAUCGCCUGGAGAUGAGCUCGCGUCAGAUUAGCUAGAUGGUGUGGUAACGGCGCACCAUGGCGACGAUCUGUAGCUGGUCUGAGAGGAUGAGCAGCCACACUGGGACUGAGACACGGCCCAGACUCCUACGGGAGGCAGCAGUGGGGAAUUUUCCGCAAUGGGCGCAAGCCUGACGGAGCAAUACCGCGUGAGGGAGGAAGGCUCUUGGGUCGUAAACCUCUUUUCUCAGGGAAGAACAAAAUGACGGUACCUGAGGAAUCAGCAUCGGCUAACUCCGUGCCAGCAGCCGCGGUAAUACGGAGGAUGCAAGCGUUAUCCGGAAUGAUUGGGCGUAAAGCGUCCGUAGGUGGUUAUGUAAGUCUGUGGUUAAAGCGUGGGGCUCAACCCCAUAAGGGCCAUGGAAACUACAAGACUUGAGUAAAGUAGGGGUAGAGGGAAUUCCCAGUGUAGCGGUGAAAUGCGUAGAGAUUGGGAAGAACACCGGUGGCGAAAGCGCUCUACUGGACUUAAACUGACACUGAGGGACGAAAGCUAGGGGAGCGAAAGGGAUUAGAUACCCCUGUAGUCCUAGCCGUAAACGAUGGAUACUAGGUGUUGCCCGUAUCGACCCGGGCAGUGCCGUAGCUAACGCGUUAAGUAUCCCGCCUGGGGAGUACGCACGCAAGUGUGAAACUCAAAGGAAUUGACGGGGGCC